GUGCUCACUUCGGCAGCACAUAUACUAAAAUUGGAAUGUUAUAGAGAAGAUUCGCAUGAUCCCUGUGUAAGGGUGACAGGCAAAUUCAUGAAGAGAAUAGUUAAAUCUUU